UACGUAGGGUGCAAGCGUUGUCCGGAAUUAUUGGGCGUAAAGAGCUCGUAGGCGGUCUGUCGCGUCUGCUGUGAAAACUCGGGGCUUAACCCCGGGCCUGCAGUGGGUACGGGCAGACUAGAGUGCGGUAGGGGAGACUGGAAUUCCUGGUGUAGCGGUGAAAUGCGCAGAUAUCAGGAGGAACACCGGUGGCGAAGGCGGGUCUCGUGGGCCGUAACUGACGCGUGAGGAAGCG
rnacentral:rRNA from 1 species